rnacentral:ncRNA from 20 species
CUUUAUAUUCGCCUUACUGGUGCCGCAAGGCUUAAUAGGGAAGCUUGGUGAAAAGCCAACACGGUCCCGCCGCUGUAAAGGGGAGCGAAACUUCAUGUAACGUCACUGGGAAACUGGGAAGGCGAAGCGUAGCGAAGAUCCUGAGUCAGAAGAACUGCCGUAAGAAGCAUGUCGUUA